CCUACGGGAGGCAGCAGUGGGGAAUAUUGGGCAAUGGGCGCAAGCCUGACCCAGCAACGCCGCGUGAAGGAAGAAGGCUUUCGGGUUGUAAACUUCUUUGAAGAGCGAAGAGCAGAAGACGGUACCUCUUGAAUAAGCUACGGCUAACUACGUGCCAGCAGCCGCGGUAAUACGGAGGUGGCAAGCGUUGUCCGGAUUUACUGGGUGUAAAGGGCGUGUAGCCGGGCUGACAAGUCAGAUGUGAAAUUCCGGGGCUCAACCCCGGACCUGCAUUUGAAACUGUUGGUCUUGAGUAUCGGAGAGGCAGGCGGAAUUCCUGGUGUAGCGGUGAAAUGCGUAGAUAUUAGGAGGAACACCGGUGGCGAAGGCGGCCUGCUGGACGACAACUGACGGUGAGGCGCGAAAGCGUGGGGAGCAAACAGGAUUAGAUACCCGAGUAGUC
rnacentral:rRNA from 1 species